AUAUUUUUCUUACUUCCUGUUUUGAUUAGUAAUCCAAUUGAAUUCGGUAAACCUUUCUAGUUUCUGGACUCAAACCGAUUUGGGUAGUUGUAAUUACCAAACUAUGGCUUCAGAAGAUUUUAAUCUUGAAAAAUUGGAGAAACUUUUCGCUAAAUGUAAAGAUGGGGAUCUUAUUUUAAUGGACGCUUACGUCGAUGCCUACGAAGAACUGAGCAAGUAAGUGCAUGCACUGUGAUUAUGACCUGGAAGCAAGAUUUUCGAAGUGUUUGCAAAUCUGGAUACCUAGAAGUUUUAAACUCUUAACUCCCCUUCAUACUUGUUUAUUAGUCCACCUUUAAUAAUGAUAGAAUUAAACUGGUUCUCAUUGCAUGAAGUCAUAGUGUCAGAAUUAACAAAACCAUGUCUUAAUUGUCAAAGGUGCUGACUAAGAGAGAAUUUAUUAAGAAACCCCAAGUAAUGUUAUUUUCUGAAUAGAAAAAAAUUUGUAAAUUAUGAUAUCAAGAGUGUUUUCUACACAUGCCACUGAUUUAUUACAGGUUAUUUUCCAUUCUGGGGUCAGUGUUUGGAUUUGUUACAUCAGAUGUGGUUGAAAAAAUUGGCAUUCUUCGAGAAUAUCGGAACAGUGAGGUCUCGGAGAAAUACAUUACCAUACAAAGCAUGAUUGAACAUGAAGUAGAAACAAAAACUACUAACAGCAAAAAGAAAGCUUCAGGAGCGAGAACUCUACUGCGACUUCACAGAGCCUUGGAAUUUACAGCUCGCCUUAUGAUGGAUCUAAAUACUGCUGACGACCAUGAAAAGAUGUCCCACAUCACAAAGACAGCAUACGACGACACACUGGCUCAUCAUCAUCCCUGGCUUAUACGAAAAGGUGUGCACGUUGCAGUGUACACUCUACCCACUAGAAAACACUUCCUGGAAAAACUAAAAAUGGAUGAUGCUGAAAAGGCUAAAGACUUACUGGCAAAGGUAUCGGAUUAUCAGAAGGAAAUAUUUGUCAUUACAGAGAAUAUCUAUACAAAGGAGAAACUACACGAUUUACCUUAGUUUAUGUAGUGAUUUUGAAUUGUUAAAUCCUAUCUGUGAUUUUUUUUUACUUUUACAUCUUUUUGUGCAAUUUUGAGUAUGUAUUUUCCAUGUACUUUAUACAGCACUUUGUGACAAGAUCUUUCUCCUCGCCUUUAGUUGUUUCAUGUUUUUAAAUCUUUUGUUUAUGUGUAUUGAAACCAGAUGAUACAAUCUGCUUUCUUGUACAACAUACUGAUAUGUAGUAUACAAAUCCGUACAAUUAACCUCAGUCAAUCUUAUCAAUAUUCUUGACAUUUGCUUUAUAGGUAUAGUACUUGAAGUGUAACUUUUAUUAAACCAGAAUUAAAGGAAAUGCAUUCCAGAAGCUUAAAGAAUGAAAUACGGUACCUAUUGGAUAAAGAAAUUGCUUCAAUAAUGCUUGUAGCCUCUAUUUUAUAGAAGUGGAAAUGAUGCUAUGGUCCUUGUUGAAUUCUAGUUGCACAAGAACAAUAUAAAUUUGUACAUGAGGUUUGUGAGUAAAGGCAUUGAUCAUUGGUCAAGGAAAAUCUUUAUUCUUCAAUUGUUGAUGUUGUCCCGUUUACAACUUUGUUAAAAUCUAUCCUUUGGUGUUAUUGCACAAAAUUUUGAAGGGUACAAUGUUAUCUUGUUAACCAGACUUGAUGUUUACAACUUUAACUCUAAUAAAAUUUACUGUGAAAUAAUAUUCUUUUUGUAUGACUAAUAAAGGAAGUUUAUAUUUGCC
rnacentral:misc_RNA from 1 species